rnacentral:rRNA from 1 species
AUUGAACGCUGGCGGCAGGCCUAACACAUGCAAGUCGAACGAGUGGCGGACGGGUGAGUAAUGUCUGUGAAACUGCCUGAUGGAGGGGGAUAACUACUGGAAACGGUAGCUAAUACCGCAUAACAUCAGAUGUGCCCAGAUGGGAUUAGCUAGUUGGUGGGGUAACGGCUCACCAAGGCGACCAUCCCUAGCUGGUCUGCGAGGAUGACCAGCCACACAGGAACUGAUACACGGUCCAGACUCCGACGGGAGGCAGCAGUGGGGAAGAUUGCACAAUGGGCGCAAGCCUGAGGCAGCCAUGCCGCGUGUAUGAAGAAGGCCUUCGGGUUGUAAAGUCCUUGCAGCGGGGAGGCGUUACCCGCAGCAGAAGCACCGGCUAACUCCGUGCCAGCAGCCGCGGUAAUAC